rnacentral:tRNA from 1 species
CGGAAGGUGGCUGAGUGGUUAAAAGCGGCGGACUGUAAAUCCGCUCCCCUAACGGAGGUUCGGUGGUUCGAAUCCAUCCCUUCCGACCA